rnacentral:rRNA from 1 species
CUGCGAGUGAAGCGGCAAAAGCUCAAAUUUGAAAUCUGGCGUCCUUCGGGCGUCCGAGUUGUAAUUUGGAGGAGCGUCUUCGGGGGCGGGCACCGUCCUAAGUUCCGUGGAACCGGACGUCACAGAGGGUGAGAAUCCCGUGCCUGGGCGGCUGUCCGUUCCCAUGUGAAGUGCUUCCGACGAGUCGAGUUGUUUGGGAAUGCAGCUCAAAAUGGGUGGUAAAUUUCAUCUAAAGCUAAAUAUUGGCGAGAGACCGAUAGCGCACAAGUAGAGUGAUCGAAAGAUGAAAAGCACUUUGAAAAGAGAGUUAAAAAGUACGUGAAAUUGUUGAAAGGGAAGCGCUUGAGAUCAAACUCGGUCUUUGGUGAAGUUGCGAGUUCGCUCGUAGCCUCUCGCCAUUGACCGGGCCAGCAUCGGUUUUGACGGCGGGAGAAACGGUGGGGGAAUGUGGCUCCCUUCGGGGAGUGUUAUAGCCUCUGCCAAAUGCCGCCAGUUGGGACCGAGGACCGCGCUUCGGCUAGGAUGCUGGCGUAAUGGUCUUAAGCGACCCGUCUUGAAACACGGACCAAGGAGUCUAACAUCUAUGCGAGUGUUCGGGUGGAAAACCCUUGCGCGUAAUGAAAGUGAAUGGAGGUGGGAACCGCAAGGUGCACCAUCGACCGAUCCCGAUGUUUUCGGAAGGAUUUGAGUAUGAGCAUAGCUGUUGGGACCCGAAAGAUGGUGAACUAUGCCUGAAUAGGGUGAAGCCAGAGGAAACUCUGGUGGAGGCUCGCAGCGGUUCUGACGUGCAAAUCGAUCGUCAAAUUUGGGUAUAGGGGCGAAAGACUAAUCGAACCAUCUAGUA